UACGGAGGACCCGAGCGUUAUCCGGAUUUAUUGGGUUUAAAGGGUGCGUAGGCGGCCUAUUAAGUCAGGGGUGAAAGACGGUAGCUUAACUAUCGCAGUGCCUUUGAUACUGAUAGGCUUGAAUGUACUUGAGGUAGGCGGAAUGUGACAAGUAGCGGUGAAAUGCAUAGAUAUGUCACAGAACACCAAUUGCGAAGGCAGCUUACUAAAGUAUGAUUGACGCUGAGGCACGAAAGCGUGGGGAUCAAACAGG
rnacentral:rRNA from 1 species